CCAUUAGUGCUGGUAUGAUCG
rnacentral:siRNA from 1 species